rnacentral:rRNA from 1 species
GGGACCCGCACAAGCGGUGGAUGAUGUGGGUUAAUUCGAUGCAACGCGAAAACCUUACCCACCUUUGACAUGGCAGGAAUCCUGAAGAGAUUUGGGAGUGCUCGAAAGAGAACCUGCACACAGGUGCUGCAUGGCUGUCGUCAGCUCGUGUCGUGAGAUGUUGGGUUAAGUCCCGCAACGAGCGCAACCCUUGCCAUUAGUUGCUACGAAAGGGCACUCUAAUGGGACUGCCGGUGACAAACCGGAGGAAGGUGGGGAUGACGUCAAGUCCUCAUGGCCCUUAUAGGUGGGGCUACACACGUCAUACAAUGGCCGGUACAGAGGGUAGCCAACCCGCGAGGGGGAGCCAAUCCCACAAAGCCGGUCGUAGUCCGGAUCGCAGUCUGCAACUCGACUGCGUGAAGUCGGAAUCGCUAGUAAUCGCGGAUCAGCAUGUCGCGGUGAAUACGUUCCCGGGUCUU